GAUGAACGCUGGCGGCGUGCCUAAUACAUGCAAGUCGAACGGACAGGCCCUGCUCUUGCUCGUCUCUCGUUUGCCGAACGCGGGUGUAACACGCGUGUAUCCCGUCCCUCUCUUUGUGAUAUCUCUUGGAAACACGGGCUAUCAUCCGGUAGGAUCUCUUGCUGCACGGUGUUCGAUGGUAAGAUUCGGCGGUUGGGGAUGGACUCGCGGCUUAUCCGCUUGUUGGUGGGGUAGUGGCGUACCAAGGUUUUGACGGGUAGCCGGCCUGAGAGGGUUACCGGCCACAUUGGGACUGAGAUACGGCCCAGACUCCUACGGGAGGCAGCAGUGGGGAAUAUUGCACAAUGGGCGGAAGCCUGAUGCAGCAACGCCGCGUGCGGGAUGACGGCCUUCGGGUUGUAAACCGCUUUCGCCUGUGACGAAGCGUGAGUGACGGUAAUGGGUAAAGAAGCACCGGCUAACUACGUG
rnacentral:rRNA from 1 species